rnacentral:rRNA from 1 species
CCUACGGGAGGCUGCAGUGGGGAAUAUUGCACAAUGGAGGAAACCCUGAUGCAGCGACGCCGCGUGAGGGAAGAAGGAUCUCGGUACGUAAAACUCUAUCAGCAGGGAAGAAAAUGACGGUACCUGACUAAGAAUCCCCGGCUAACUACGUGCCAGCAGCCGCGGUAAUACGGAGGGUGCAAGCGUUAUCCGGAUUUACUGGGUGUAAAGGGGGCGUAGACGGCAGGACAAGUCUGGAGUGAAAUCCCGGGGCUUAACCCCGGAACUGCUUUGGAAACUGUGCGGCUGGAGUGCAGGAGGGGUAAGCGGAAUGUCUGGUGUAGCGGUGAAAUGCGUAGAGAUUAGGAGGAACACCGGUGGCGAAGGCGGCUUACUGGACUAUAACUGACGUUGAGGCUCGAAAGCGUGGGGAGCAAACAGGAUUAGAUACCCGAGUAGUC